CCUACGGGAGGCAGCAGUGAGGAAUAUUGGUCAAUGGGCGGAAGCCUGUACCAGCCAAGUAGCGUGCAGGAUGACGGCCCUACGGGUUGUAAACUGCUUUUAUACGGGAAUAACGCGCCUUACGUGUAGGGCUUUGCAUGUACCGUAUGAAUAAGGACCGGCUAAUUCCGUGCCAGCAGCCGCGGUAAUACGGAAGGUCCGGGCGUUAUCCGGAUUUAUUGGGUUUAAAGGGAGCGUAGGCCGCAUGUCAAGCGUGCUGUGAAAUGUCCGGGCUCAACCCGGGCCUUGCAGCGCGAACUGGCGUGCUUGAGUCCGCGGAAAGCAGGCGGAAUUCGUCGUGUAGCGGUGAAAUGCUUAGAUAUGACGAAGAACCCCGAUUGCGAAGGCAGCUUGCUGCAGCGGAACUGACGCUGAUGCUCGAAAGCGCGGGUAUCGAACAGGAUUAGAUACCCCGGUAGUC
rnacentral:rRNA from 1 species